rnacentral:piRNA from 1 species
UUGAUAAUCAUAGGCUGGCAGAAC